GGUAGGGGGAGGGGAUGGAGGGAUCCUUACAGUCUUCCCCGAGUCCCUGCUUGGCCCUGCUGUUCACAGCCUGGGUGGCUGCCUCCUCCUCUCCAGCAAACUCCAGUCCUCCUUCAAGGCCUGACUGUGGCAGCACACUCUGUGCCCCACCCCCCAAAGCAUCAGGCCCUUUUGCCUCCGAGCUCUCCUAGCAUGUUGUUCCUUUCUCGGUUAGCGUCCAUCAUCAUGCAGGCCUGGAGUAGUUCUCUAAGGGCCUGUGGCUGGGGGUCACUGAGCCCCUCGAGGGUGAGGACUGUGUCUCGCUCAGUACUCUUUAAGUCGGGUGCCGGGGAUAGAGUCGUUGCUUAGUAAAUGCUGGCUGCCUCAACAGAGGACCCUUUGUCUUCUUUUCCAGUGAGAGGCACCUGCUCUGUCCUUGGAGCAGCUCGAGGAAACAGGAAGGCUGGGAUGAGGCCUGGAUCUCCUCAACCUGCCAGCAGACUUGAAGUUCUAACCUGAAAACUCCAACCACUAGGCUGCCACCCUGUGUCCGGGGCUGUCUGCACACUGCUUCCUCCAGGGAUGGGAUCCUCCUUACCAGCUGGGCAGGCGGGCGUUGUUACCUGGGCAUCACCAUGGUCUGUUAUCAUCAGUGAAAACCCAGCCGGAAGGGAGAGGGCACAUCUGAGGACAAGAGGAUCAUCUUGCAAAGUGGACACCUCUGUCUCUCCUGUCAUGUAAGAGGCUCUUCAAAGGGUGGUUCGGUAUUCGGAAGAUUUCUGUCAGUUUCUGCUUGAAAUUUUCCCAUUUUUAAGAGAAUACGGAAACAUCUCAUAUGACCUUCAUCACAAAGAUAACCUCCUAAAAUUGCUCCUAUGUUUCGAAAGAAGGCCAGGGUAGUUGUUACACAGAGCCCUGGAAAGUAUGUGCUCCCUUCUCCCAAGCUAAAUAUCGAAAUGCCAGAUUAAAGGCCCUUCUUUCCGGGGAGGACGUCGGUGGAUCGGACACACACUCUUCAUCUCCCCUCUGCCUCUGUGUGCACCCUCCACCCAGGGCUGGAA